rnacentral:lncRNA from 1 species
AAGAGAUACCAGAAGGGAAACUGGGAAGCUGGAGGAGAAGGGGAGAGGACCAUGCCUUCCCUAGACAAAAGACAAAGCCUUUUGCUUCUGCUAUAAAUAGGACACCCUCAGGAAAGCUGGAGCUUCUAAUUCUUCCAGUGAUGGAACUCAGCAUAUGUCUGAGGAGCAGAGAAUUCAGAAGCUCCCAUGGGCCUCCCACAGCUGGAAUCUAAAACAACCACAGAAGUCUCAGAAAAGAGAAUAUAAAAGCAUACAACAAAAUAAAGGACUCAUAAGAGUACAGGGAUCACAUACAUGAAGUUGAACAAUGUUCGGUUUUAAUUCUUCACAAUUAUCAUUUGUAAGAUUGUAGACAACAGAUCACAUGUGGGAGAUGCUUGAAGUGGAGAAGUGUGUCUCCAAAAGUGUGAUAUCUACAAUGAAUCAUUUGGAAAGAGUCCUCAGCAAGCUGUGGUGUCUUAUGCCUGUAAUCCCAGCAGUUUGGGAGGUCGAUGUGGGUGGAUCGCUUGUGCCCAGGAAUUCAAGAUCACC